CUCUCUCUCUGUCUACAUAAAGUUAGUAACUGUAGUUUGAGCGUCACUGUUCAUCUCAAUGCUCCUGUUUUCAGAUGACUUGGCACCCUGCAUCAACCCUCUGGAAUCUUCCGUUUUAUGUGAAGGGUGUAAAUGGUGAAUGGCUACAACUUCUAUUUUUAGUGACUAUGGAUGUUAUGAUGUAAAAAUAGAAUGAACGUUGUCAGAAAGUGGUGGGGAGGUUCAGUUGUAGUCUAACUAAAUCUAUACUGGAGUAGUGUGGGGAGGUUCAGCUGUAGUCUAACUAAAUCUAUACUGGAGUAGUGUGGGGGGGUUCAGCUGUAGUCUAACUAAAUCUAUACUGGAGUAGUGUGGGGGGGUUCAGCUGUAGUCUAACUAAAUCUAUACUGGAGUAGUGUGGGGAGGUUCAGCUGUAGUCUAACUAAAUCUAUACUGGAGUAGUGUGGGGGGGUUCAGC
rnacentral:lncRNA from 1 species